GACCGCCGGUGACAAACCGGAGGAAGGUGGGGAUGACGUCAAGUCCUCAUGGCCUUUAUGUCCAGGGCUACACACGUGCUACAAUGGCCGGUACAAACCGUUGCCACCUCGCGAGAGGGAGCCAUUCGGAAAAAGCCGGUCUCAGUUCGGAUUGCAGGCUGCAACUCGCCUGCAUGAAGCUGGAAUCGCUAGUAAUCGCGGAUCAGCAUGCCGCGGUGAAUACGUUCCCGGGCCUUGUACACACCGCCCGUCACAUCACGAAAGUCGGCUGUACCAGAAAUCGGGGGGCCAACCCGCAAGGGAGGUAGCCGCUUAAGGUAUGGUCGGUGAUUGGGGUGAAGUCGUAACAAGGUAACCGUA
rnacentral:rRNA from 1 species